rnacentral:rRNA from 1 species
UAGGGAAUCUUCGGCAAUGGGGGCAACCCUGACCGAGCAACGCCGCGUGAGUGAAGAAGGUUUUCGGAUCGUAAAGCUCUGUUGUAAGAGAAGAACGUGUGUGAGAGUGGAAAGUUCACACAGUGACGGUAACUUACCAGAAAGGGACGGCUAACUACGUGCCAGCAGCCGCGGUAAUACGUAGGUCCCGAGCGUUGUCCGGAUUUAUUGGGCGUAAAGCGAGCGCAGGCGGUUUAAUAAGUCUGAAGUUAAAGGCAGUGGCUUAACCAUUGUUCGCUUUGGAAACUGUUAAACUUGAGUGCAGAAGGGGAGAGUGGAAUUCCAUGUGUAGCGGUGAAAUGCGUAGAUAUAUGGAGGAACACCGGUGGCGAAAGCGGCUCUCUGGUCUGUAACUGACGCUGAGGCUCGAAAGCGUAGGGAGCAAACAGG